AUGGUGAGGAGUGAAGUGAAGCCUUCUCUAAUUUGGCGGCUGGUGCGCGACCUCGGGCAGGAGAAGGAGCAUAUGAGGUGGGUGAUCGCGCUCUGGCUCUGGUUCGAGGCCGAUGGGAACGACAAGUUCAUGCGCCGCGCGGCCGCGCUUCCGGGCCCCGUCGUGCUGCGCUUCGUCGACGAGGCGCUGGCGUGCCUCGCCCGCCUCGCCGGCCGCGUGCUCCCCGGCGCCAGCACCCUCCUCCCCUGCACCAACGCGCUCCUCAACAAGCCCAUCGACGACGUCACCUACUUCGACGAGCACCGCGACAACAUCAUGCCCCGCGUCAAGUUACUGUACAAGACCGUCUGCCGCGUCGUCCUCGACGACGCCUGCGCCUCCGACGACGCCGUCUUCUUUCCCAGGAGCAGCGCCGCCUCCGCGCCGCGCGCCAUCGGCACUCCCGUGCUCGCCAGCGCCGUCUCCCCACCCCCCCAGACGCCAACGACGCCGAGGUUCGCCGACCUGAACGCAAUAGUGACGCCGAGGUUCUCCCAGCUGAACGCGAUGGCGCCGCCGUGGGCCCCGAUCCGGCUGGCGCAGCCGUACCAGCCCCAGCCCCCACCCCAGCACCAGCACCAGCAGCAUCAGAUGAUGAUCAUCGACCGCCUUCCAGAGGAGUUCCGCUCGCUCUUCAUCACCUUCUCCCGCGGCUACCCCAUCGACAAGGACGACAUCAGGGACUUCUUCAACUCGCUGCACGGGCGCCCGUGCGUGGAGGACGUGAUGGUGGAGAGGGCGGCGCCGGGGCAGAUGCCGGUGUACGGGAGGGUGGUGCUGCAGAGCGCGGACAUGAUCCCGGCGCUGCUCGGGGGCGAGCCGACGGCCAAGUUCAUCAUCAAGGGCAGGCACCUCUGGGCCAGGGUCUACGUGCCCUGCUCCAGGAACACCUUCCAAGCCUGA
rnacentral:rRNA from 1 species